GGGGGGGGGGGGGGGGGGGCGGGGGCGGGGGAGGCGGGGGGGCGGGCGAGGAGGGGGGUGCUCUGAGGUGAGGGGCGGGCGGGUGAGGAGCACGUGGCUAACCUACCUAUAAGACUGGGGUGACUUCGGGAGACCGGCGCUCAUUCCGGCUGCUUUUUUGAACCGGAUGGUUCCAAAGUGACAUACGGCCUUGCUGUCACUAAUCGGUGGAUCCCCGCUGGAUUAGCUAGUUGGGAAGGUAACGGCCUACCAAGGCAACGAUGCAUAGCCGACCUGAGAGGGUGAUCAGCCACACUGGAACUGAGACACGGUCCAGACUCCUACGGGAGGCAGCAGUAGGGAAUCUUCCGCAAUGGGCGAAAGCCUGACGGAGCAACGCCGCGUGAGUGAUGAAGGUCUUCGGAUCGCAAAACUCUGUCAUUAGGGAAGAACAGAUGUGUAAGUAACUGUGCACAUCUUGACGGUACCUAAUCAGAAAGCCACGGCUAACUACGUG
rnacentral:rRNA from 1 species